rfam:Corynebacterium testudinoris strain DSM 44614, complete genome.
ACUCAGGCACGAUCGUGGCCUCUGUUCACCACGCCGCGAACCGACCUGAUGUUCCAUCCUGAGGGA